rnacentral:rRNA from 1 species
UACGUAGGUGGCAAGCGUUGUCCGGAUUUACUGGGUGUAAAGGGCGCGUAGCCGGGCUGACAAGUCAGAUGUGAAAUCCGGGGGCUCAACCCCCGAACUGCAUUUGAAACUGUUGGUCUUGAGUAUCGGAGAGGCAGGCGGAAUUCCUAGUGUAGCGGUGAAAUGCGUAGAUAUUAGGAGGAACACCAGUGGCGAAGGCGGCCUGCUGGACGACAACUGACGGUGAGGCGCGAAAGCGUGGGGAGCAAACAGG